rnacentral:lncRNA from 1 species
UGAGAAAUAAACUGCCACCUCUCCUUCUUCUAAGUGACACCAGGCAGUGAUUACAGAAGUGCUUCCCAGAUGAAAGACAGUAGUUCAGUCUUUAACUCUUGGUAGAUUGUAAGCAUAGCGCACCAAAGGGAAUCCUCUACUCUGGUAGAAGCAGGCUCGUCCACAGGCAGACAAAGGAAUCUUCUUCAUCUGCAUAAUCAGAGUGGGCCGACUGUGUGCCACAGUCGGACCAGUAGCCCUCAGGUCUUUGGCAAGAAGCCACUGCCAAUGCAGGACAGCUGUGUGAUUUUAUCAAGUGUUUGCAUGAUACUGGCUUUGUUAAAAGAAACGAUUCGCAGCAGUCGCAAACAGUCAGGUUGCCCUGCAAAUGUGAGUACAUGCCACAGUCGUAGUAGAAAUCCUGUUCCAGACAACCACCUUGGCUACUGAUGGAAACUGAAACUGAUCCACUUUUCUUGGUAACACGUCGCUUCAGUAACUUCCAGUCUUCUUUAAACUUUGGGUUGAAGAAAACAUACAGGACUGGAUUCAGGCGGAAAUGGCAAACAAAGGGGUGAUGCAGAAUAUUCCCCUCUAUGGAAAAGGGGAAAACAGCCUGCUACUGUAGCACCUAGGAAAGCCAAAAGGGCAGCAACCCGGAACUGUUUGAGAUGAUUGCUCUUCCCAUUUUUCAUUAUAUCUUUUGCAGAUAAGCUUCUUUCGACAGUUGCUAGCAUUAAUAAAAAUAUGGCACUUUCUGAGGAGAAAACUGCAAGAAACCCAGCUACUUUGCAGCCACUGCCAGUUUCCCACCAAAUGCCAAAUUCAGCGAAUCUGCCCCAGGACACAGCAUCAAGAAAAGUUAGGAUGCCAGUAUAGAUUCCCAUGAAUAAGUUAGACACAGAAAUCAAGCCUAUAAACAAUUUGGACGAAGGCAGUGAUGUACAAGAUGCAAAUGUUGUUAAAAUAACAAGCAGGUUGAAAAAUAAUGCAACCAAGAAAAUGAACCACACAGUAAGACGAAUCAUCCAGCUUCCCAGUAAAUAUUCACAGGGCUUAAAAGCACCUA